ACAGCUCCCGAACCAGAACCGGUACCGGAAAUCGAACCAGAACCGGAAGAGCCACUACCCCCUACAGAACCAAUCAGAGUUCCACACAGGGUUUCCGACAAGAUGAUAGCUGAAGUUGCAAAAUACAAGAUUCCGUCCGACCGGUUUUCUGUGCUGGUAAAUGCUCUGGGCUUCACAACAAAGGAUUUUGGAAAAGCAGUGUCGGACAACAUAAGCUCUCAUGGAAGUAGAAAAGGGUAUAUAGGGACCAAAAACAUUCUUACCCGAUGGCGGAACAAAACAGAAGUUGCAAAACAGCGUCCGGAGUUAAGAGAGGCAUUUACAAGAUCAAACUUGCCGCACUUGAUAAAGAGGUACCUUAAACUGGAACACGAUUUCCUUGAUUGAAACCUGGGCCUAUGGAUUUUCUAGACCAUCCCUUAAAGACCGACGCAAACUACACAAUCCGAUCAGAUUUAAAUGUAUAUACAUGCAUAAAUAUGUAUAUAUAUAUAUAUAUAUAUAUAUUGGUAUUGAUAUUGGUGGUGAUUUUGUACCUGAUUGCUAAGAAAGUAUGAAUGCUUGUAAGCAAGCAACCAGAGGACCGACGGCUUAAGGUCCUCUCCGAAGGACCUGGUACUGAGGAUUAAUGCCUUACCAAAGGGCACUAGCGCACCAAGUGGGACUCGAACCCGGGUCACCGGAAUACGAAUCCCCCGCUCUACCGACUGAGCUAUCGUGUGUGUGUGAGGGUGUGUGUAUAUGUGUGAGGGUGAGUGUGUGUGUAUAUAUAUAUAUAUAUAUAUAUAUAUAUAUAUACAUACAUAUGCAUGUAAGUUCCGAUUAGUUGUAUUAAUAUUAAAAUCGAAUUAUCCAGAUUUUUUUUCUCCAGAAUCGAGAUUCUCUUUCGGAAGAGAAGCAAAUCCAAAACCAAAACAUAUUGACACCAUCAUCGGCUGCGAUUUGAAAUCGAUUUGAAGCUUAGAUCGACCACAAGGUUUGCAGCAAAAUAGAAACCUGAUUCAAGUUUUUCGACUAGUUUACAUACUUUUCAUCGUGUUCAUGUUAAAUGAAAAAUACGAUUUGUUCAAAAAUCUUGUAGUCGGAUCGUGCAGUCUGCCCUGGGCUUUAGUAUGUGCGCGAGUGUGCUUUUGCACGUGUGUGUGUGUAUGUUGGCCUUUUUACAAAAUCUUGGUAUUUAAUACUGAAAAUCAACUUCUCCAAAUAAAAGAUAUCGUUCACGCUAUACCAACAAGUUACACCAACACGCUAUACCAUUUUUUUUUUUUUGUUCAAUAAAGUUUAAAAAGAUUGAUUUCGUAGACUUUUGGAUAAGUAUGAAUACACUCUAAAAAUAUUGGGUAAAAAUGCUUCAUAAGGGUAAUUAUGUGUCAAACCAACAUUGGGCAUUUUUAUCUAUCCUGUGUGAUGAAAAUUUUGCCCAUUCUAAAGUAAUUGCUGCUUACUUUUCAACCUUACUGGGCAAUAUGCUUCCCGCAUUGGGUAAAAUACUGCCCCAAAUUGGUAGGACACAACUCGUGCUGGUUAAAAUUUACCCAAUAUUUCUUUACAGUAUAUUGGAAGGCAGGAAACAGUCUUUGAGGUAAUUAAACAACAACAAUUUAUUACCUAUUUAUUGUCAAUCUGCAAGAAUAAAUUAACACUCAUGGAUGGUUACAGUGAUUGUAAUGUUACUGAUGUAGAAAUUUGUAAAUUGUUUGGAUAUAUUCAAUAAAUUGACCUACCAUCUCUGUCUCUAAUUUGAUAAAAGACUAAUUCCUGAUUUGACCCAAUCUACCUUGUACCUUGUAGUUCUAUUCCCUGAAGUCCUCCACCAGGAAGGGUAACUCAGGGCUGACGAGAGUGGGAGUAUUGUUACUCUGUUUUGUUUUGUUGCAGGUUUUACAUAAAAUCUGCAUUUUUUCUUAAAGUAUUAAUUCGAUAACUUUUUUUUUGUUUCUCUCUUCAUAUUAUACGAUGAAGGUUAAUUUAUAUAGAAGUAUUGGAAUUACAUGUUUGAAUUUAUUGCUAUUUUGUGUUAUUCCAUGUAGGCACCAGCCAAUGUGGAGAACCUCUCGACAGAAUUUUCCAUUCUUUUAGGUGAUCCCCAGGCAUUGGCUGGUGCUCAAUAUUACAUUUCUUUUGUAAUGUUUCUAUUGCUGUCAUGUUUUCUUGCAUGGAAAUAAAAUGAAUAAGUAAAUAAAUAAAUAUAACAAGCAGAACUCUUAUAAGAAAACAAAGAGAAUUCAGUUUUUAAAAGCUUAAAAACUUUUACAUGGGGCAAUAUACAAAAGAACAUUUGAAGAGAUUUUGUUUUGUUGGGAUAAUUACUGCUCAUUUUGUCGUACACAAACUGAAUUAUACUUUCAUAUAUUGAUGCAUUGUAUGAAAGUUAAACCUCUGUGGCAAUUUUGUAUUGAUCAUUUCUGUUUAAUUGAAUUAAGAACUAUAAAUUGGAAGGAUAUUUUCUUAGGACUACCUGGACAUUCUAAUAGUGUUAAUUCUGUUUUUUUUUUUAAUAAAAUAUGCCAUUUUUAAUUCUAGAGCUGGAGGCCGGGUACCUUCUUUCACCAAAAUACAUUUAUUACGGGUUGCAUAGAGGAAGAAAGUCGCUUGGCAUCAAAGCCAAGCAAGAUUAGUUUACUUACUAAAACAGAAAUGGGAUACAUUGAAGGUGAAUAGAUAUUUAAAUGUGAACAGGUAGGAUGUGUCUAGUGUGGUGUGAGUUUUAUUUUUGGUGUGACUCUUCAUGAUUGAUUUCGUACUAUUUCUUUUCGAUAUCCCCUUCUCUUGUGUCAAUCUGAUUUGCAGAUUUCAUUCUUUCUGUACCUUAUGUCAAAAUUAAAUGUCCAUGAACAUA